GGGGGGGCCGAGCUGGAGGGGGGCCUAGCAGAGUUGAGGCCUCCUCUUGGCCCAGACCAGAGGGAGCCCCGGCACUGCCCAGGCUUUGGGGCCUAGGAUGAAGCAGGACCAGGCACAGUUGGGGCUGCUUUGGGGCCCAGGAUGGAGGAGGACCGGGCGCAGUUGGGGCUGCUUUGGGGCCUAGGAUGGAGGAGGAGCAGGCACAGUUGGGGCUGCUUUGGGGCCCAGGAUGGAGGAGGAGCAGGCACAGUUGGGGCUGCUUUGGGGCCUGGGCUGGAGGGGGGCCUGGCACAGUUGAGGCCUGCUCUUGGCCCAGACCAAAGGGAGCCCCGGCACAGCCAGGCUCUUGGUGCCCAGGAUGAAGCAGGACCAGGCACAGUUGGGGCUGCUUUGGGGCCCAGGAUGGAGGAGGACCGGGCGCAGUUGGGGCUGCUUUGGGGCCCAGGAUGGAGGAGACCCAGGCACAGUUGGGGCUGCUUUGGGGCCCAGGCUGGUGGGAGGCCCGGCACAGCCAGAGCCUUGUGGCUGCACUCUCUCUGUACAGUUCAACCUUGAUCCAUAACCUAAAAUGGUAACUGUAGUGAAAGGCAGUAGCUGAUCCAGCUGCUUUCCUGUGUUUUAAUUUUCCUAUGAGUGGGGAAGGACUCAAGCUAGUAAACAAAGAGCCCUUUCUGAAGAACAGGACUCAGGAAGUAUUAGCACAGAGCAGAUCUGCCAGUAGAGAUUCUUCCCCUUAGACAGGCAGCCCUUAAACGAGGGUGGGGAGGGCUGGAGCCAGGCUCCACCCCUUUUUUGCCCAGGUGAAAUGCUUGCAGCUGUGCUCCACAG
ensembl:lncRNA